rnacentral:rRNA from 1 species
AGUGAACGCUGGCGGUAGGCCUAACACAUGCAAGUCGAACGGCAGCACAGUAAGAGCUUGCUCUUACGGGUGGCGAGUGGCGGACGGGUGAGGAAUACAUCGGAAUCUACUUUUUCGUGGGGGAUAACGUAGGGAAACUUAUGCUAAUACCGCAUACGACCUACGGGCGAAAGCAGGGGAUCUUCGGACCUUGCGCGAUUGAAUGAGCCGAUGUCGGAUUAGCUAGUUGGCGGGGUAAAGGCCCACCAAGGCGACGAUCCGUAGCUGGUCUGAGAGGAUGAUCAGCCACACUGGAACUGAGACACGGUCCAGACUCCUACGGGAGGCAGCAGUGGGGAAUAUUGGACAAUGGGCGCAAGCCUGAUCCAGCCAUACCGCGUGGGUGAAGAAGGCCUUCGGGUUGUAAAGCCCUUUUGUUGGGAAAGAAAAGCAGCAGGUUAAUACCCCGCUGUUCUGACGGUACCCAAAGAAUAAGCACCGGCUAACUUCGUG